AUUGAACGCUGGCGGCAGGCCUAACACAUGCAAGUCGAGCGAGCGGCCGACGGGUGAGUAAUGUCUGGGAAACUGCCUUAUGGAGGGGGAUAACUACUGGAAACGGUAGCUAAUACCGCAUACCAUCAGAUGUUCCCAGAUGGGAGUAGCUAGUAGGUGGGGUACUGGCGCACCUAGGCGACGAUCCCUAGCUGUUCUGGGAGGAUGACCAGCCACACUGGAAAUGAGAAACGGUCCAGACUCCGACGGGAGGCAGCAGUGGGGAAUAUUGCACAAUGGGCGCAAGCCUGAUGCAGCCAUGCCGAGUGUAUGAAGAAGGCCUUCGGGUUGUAAAGUAAGUUCAGCGGGGAGGCGUUACCCGCAGAAGAAGCACCGGCUAACUCCGUGCCAGCAGCCGCGGUAAUUC
rnacentral:rRNA from 1 species